AAUUUCUGAUGAGAUCAAGGCGCAAAUCUGUCUGCUGCUGACGUUGUAGAGGUUAUCACAAUAUCAUCAGAAAUGCUGCGCUAUGCAAAUCAGUUUCACUUUAGAGCGUGGUAGCUUCCGAGCGGUAAUGUUCACACAAUAGUUCCUAAAAUUCUUAAAGAAAUCGGGACGUUUGGAUUGCAAGCAAACGGCUCGGAGUCUUCUUCGUGCGAGCCCGGCCAUCACCAUCCACAGCGGCAGUGAAAAGAUUGAAAAAGAAACGAUAGCAUUUAUCAGUAGUAGUCGUUCCUCAAGACGCUGAAAUAAGCCUCGCUGAUCGAGACAUUUGGAUUGCUAGCAAACAGCUAGGAGUCUUUUAGCGAGCCCUGCCAUCACGAUCCACAGCAGCAGUGAAAAGAUCGAAAGACAAACGAUAACAUUUAUCAACCUUAGUUGUUCCUCAAGACGCUGGAAUUAGCUUCACUG